rnacentral:rRNA from 1 species
UACGGGGGGGGCAAGCGUUGUUCGGAAUUACUGGGCGUAAAGGGCUCGUAGGUGGCCAACUAAGUCAGACGUGAAAUCCCUCAGCUUAACUGGGGAACUGCGUCUGAUACUGGAUGGCUUGAGUUUGGGAGAGGGAUGCGGAAUUCCAGGUGUAGCGGUGAAAUGCGUAGAUAUCUGGAGGAACACCGGUGGCGAAGGCGGCCGCCUGGGCCGGUCCUGACGCUGAGCCGCGAAAGCGUGGGGAGCGAUCCGG